GUUGUCCUUGUCUUUGGGGAGCAAAGUAUUCAAUGAUCGUCUAGUGAGGGUACUGUUGCUAUAACCCAUUAAACAAUAUCCUGCAUCCACGAUAAACGUGAGAUGCAAUUUUUGAAAGC